AUUGAACGCUGGCGGCAGGCUUAACACAUGCAAGUCGAGCGGGGAAAAGUAGCUUGCUACUUGACCUAGCGGCGGACGGGUGAGUAAUGCUUAGGAAUCUGCCUAUUAGUGGGGGACAACAUCUCGAAAGGGAUGCUAAUACCGCAUACGUCCUACGGGAGAAAGCAGGGGACCUUCGGGCCUUGCGCUAAUAGAUGAGCCUAAGUCGGAUUAGCUAGUUGGUGGGGUAAAGGCCUACCAAGGCGACGAUCUGUAGCGGGUCUGAGAGGAUGAUCCGCCACACUGGGACUGAGACACGGCCCAGACUCCUACGGGAGGCAGCAGUGGGGAAUAUUGGACAAUGGGGGGAACCCUGAUCCAGCCAUGCCGCGUGUGUGAAGAAGGCCUUUUGGUUGUAAAGCACUUUAAGCGAGGAGGAGGCUACCGAGAUUAAUACCCAAGAUGAGUGGACGUUACUCGCAGAAUAAGCACCGGCUAACUCUGUGCCAGCAGCCGCCGUAAAAC
rnacentral:rRNA from 1 species